GAUGAAGAACGUAGCGAAAUGCGAUACGUAGUGUGAAUUGCAGAAUUCAGUGAAUCAUCGAAUCUUUGAACGCACAUUGCACCUCUCGGUAUUCCGGGAGGUAUGCCUGUUCGAGCGUCAUUUGUACCCUCAAGCUCUGCUUGGUGUUGGGUGUUUGUUCCGCCUCUGUGUGUGAACUCGCCUCAAAACAAUUGGCAGCCGGCGUACUUGUUUCGGAGCGCAGCACAUUUUGCGAUCCAGAUCAACGUACAGCGGCAUCCAAGAAGCCUUAUUUAACACUCUUGACCUCGGAUCAGGUAGGGAUACCCGCUGAACUUAAGCAUAUCAAUAAGCGGAGGA
rnacentral:misc_RNA from 1 species